UACGGAGGGGCUAGCGUUGUUCGGAAUUACUGGGCGUAAAGCGCGCGUAGGCGGCUUUGUAAGUUAGAGGUGAAAGCCCGGAGCCUCAACUCCGGAAUUGCCUUAAGACUGCAUCGCUAGAAUCAUGGAGAGGUUAGUGGAAUCCGAGUGUAGAGGUGAAUUCGUAGAUAUUCGGAAGAACACCAGUGGCGAAGGCGACUUACUGGACACAUAUUGACGCUGAGGUGCGAAAGCGUGGGAGCAACAGG
rnacentral:rRNA from 1 species